UGGUUCUGGCAUCGAUGAAGAACGCAGCGAAAUGCGAUAAGUAAUGUGAAUUGCAGAAUUCAGUGAAUCAUCGAAUCUUUGAACGCACAUUGCGCCCAUUAGUAUUCUAGUGGGCAUGCCUGUUCGAGCGUCAUUUCAACCCUUAAGCCUAGCUUAGUGUUGGGAGUCUACUGUCUGGGCGGACCUACCCUGUAGCGAGUUACCCUGUAACGAACCUACCCGGUAGCGACCUACCCUGUAGCUCCUCAAAGUCAACGGCGGAACUGUGGUGUCCUCUGAGCGUAGUAAAAUUAUUCUCGCUUUUGUUAGGUGCUGCAGGUCUUGCCCAAAAACCCCCAAAUUUUAAUGGUUGACCUCGGAUCAGGUAGGAAUACCCGCUGA
rnacentral:misc_RNA from 1 species